rnacentral:rRNA from 1 species
AGUGAACGCUGGCGGUAGGCCUAACACAUGCAAGUCGAACGACCACACAGUAAGAGUUCUCUCCUACGGGUGGCGAGUGGCGGACGGGUGAGGAAUACAUCAGAAUCUACUUUUACUUGGAGAAUUACGUAGGAAAACUUACGCUAAUACCGCAUACAUUCUACGGCUUAAAGCAGUAGUUCAUGGCGCCUUGGCUGAUACAUUUAGCCGAAGUCGCAUUAGCUAGUUGGGUGGGUAAAGGCUCACCAAGGCGACGAUGCGUAGCUGAUCUGAGAGGAUGAUCAGCCACACUGGAACUGAGACACGGUCCAGACUCCUACGGGAGGCAGCAGUAGGGAAUAUUGGACAAUGGGCGCAAGCCUGACGCAGCAAUGCCGCGUGAGUGAAGAAGGUCUUCGGGUCGUAAAACUCUUUUAUUAGGAAAGAAAAGAUGUAGAAGAAACCAUGGCUGUUCUGACGGUACCCAAAGAGUAAGCAACGGCUAACUUCGUG